rnacentral:rRNA from 1 species
GACGGAGGAUGCAAGUGUUAUCCGGAAUCACUGGGCGUAAAGCGUCUGUAGGUGGUUUAAAAAGUCUACUGUUAAAAAUUGAAGCUUAACUUCAAAGAUGCCGUAGAAACUUUUAAACUCGAGGAUGGUAGGGGUAGAGGGAAUUUCCAGUGGAGCGGUGAAAUGCGUAGAUCUUGGAAAGACCACCAAUGGCGAAGGCACUCUACUGGGCCAUUACUGACACUAAGAGACGAAAGCUAGGGGAGCAAAUGAG